rnacentral:rRNA from 1 species
GAUCAUGGUCAGGAUGAACGCUAACGGCAGGCUUAACACAUGCAAGUCGAGGGGCAGCAUAAUGGAUAGCAAUAUCUAUGGUGGCGACCGGCGCACGGGUGCGUAACGCGUAUGCAACCUACCUUUAACAGGGGGAUAACACUGAGAAAUUGGUACUAAUACCCCAUAAUAUCAUAGAAGGCAUCUUUUAUGGUUGAAAAUUCCGAUGGUUAGAGAUGGGCAUGCGUUGUAUUAG